rnacentral:sRNA from 1 species
CUGGAAUCUAGUGCACACAAAUGCAGCACAUGUGAGUGUGUGCUUAUGGUGGGGCAAUGGCACAUUCGUGAAUAGGUCAGGUACAUGAAUGUGGAUUGUUUGAAAGAAUGAUUCAUCUCCAGCCACAGAGGCAAACGGGAGAAGAAAGGAAGAUGAAGGGGCUUACGGAGCAGACAUGGUGAAGUGAAGGCUAAAGGUGUCCUGGAGUUCUUCGGGAAGGUGCGGACAGGGCGAGGUCAUGGCAGUUGCACUUUGAUUGGGAUGAGAUGGAGUCUCAACGUAGCUGUAAAUUGCAUCCCCAGAUGUCCGAGAGUGUCAAACAUUUUGAGUAAGAGCCUCGAUAGAGAUCUUUUAGCUAUUGUAAGCAGAUAGGACCUAGAAAAAGAACUAGCUUUUGUAGUUAAUAGCAAAGAAUCUAAAGGUAGCAGUGAAGCAAAUAAUCAAUAGUGGUACUCCAACAGAGAAAAAUCAAACCCUCGGUUUUCCAGGGUGACCUUGAAUUCACAAAGAAAAACUGGAAAUUUGUUUAUUGAUAUAUGUACUAUGGGACAUUUGCCACGCUUAAAAGCUAUAAGCAUUUGCCCACUCUUUCCCUAGAAACUGACAAAUCACUUAAGAAGUAGGUAGCUCCAACAGUCCUCAGACAUUUCUGUGUCCCAGCUGUCGCCUUACUGUGAAGAUGGAAUUGCCAGGUUAAAUGUUAAUAUUUCCUUCAUAGUUCUUUCAUGCAGCUCCUGAAAUCAGAGUUAAUUGGACUGAUUGAUUUCCCAACCCCCAUUUUCCCAGCGAGCACACACUAAAGAGCUCAAUGACGUGCAGGCUUUUGGGCAGGACAAAACAUUUUACUGGCACAGGCGGGGUUAUUGGGGGCAGAACACAUUAAAGCUGGAACAGAGUCACUGAAGUCACGGCUUCAACUUACAUCAGACCAGAGAAAGAUUAAAAGCAAUUGAAUACUAAUAGCUGAAAUCCCGAUCAAUAAAAGGAGCCAUCAGAUCUUACACAGCCCUUGUUACUCAUUUGUUUUUUCCAGGAGAGAACACACAAACAAACCAUGAAUGUGGACAUUGGCGGAUUUUUUGAAAAACAACCAUUCUCUACUUCCCUUGGUAGUUUAAUCCAUGUAUAUUUCAUUUCCGGUGCCCCUUAGAGUAUUACUGUACUUACCUGGGCAGGAAGGAAGAUACUAUAAGCAGAGAUUUGUGUCCUCUACCUUUGGCUAUUAGGGUAUUGGAGCA